UACGAAGGGGGCUAGCGUUGUUCGGAAUUACUGGGCGUAAAGCGCGUGUAGGCGGGUCCUUAAGUCAGGGGUGAAAUGCCAAGGCUCAACCUUGGAACUGCCUUUGAUACUGGGGAUCUUGAGUCCGGGAGAGGAAGGCGGAAUUCUCGGUGUAGAGGUGAAAUUCGUAGAUAUCGAGAGGAACACCGGUGGCGAAGGCGGCCUUCUGGACAGUGACUGACGCUGAGACGCGAAAGCGUGGGGAGCAAACAGG
rnacentral:rRNA from 1 species